UGUUAUCACUUUACUUCUUCUUCGAGCAAGUUAAAAGAAAUGUGGACAAAUUUGUUUAGUUAAGAUGCUGAGGCCUAAUUCCAAAAUUUGAUAAUCAAGCCCAAUUGUUCACAUCCAUCUUCUUCGAAAGUCUUCGUCUGUCUGUUCAUAUCCCUAUGUCCAGCCGGCAACAACCUUACCGAAUUAUAACGUUUUUUGUGUCAUUGAAACCUGCUCACGAAGUCUGGCCAUUACCUCUCUCCUUGAAGCGUUCUCCCGAAAUCCCUAAUUUUGACUGCUAUAAAUAGGGAUGCAGGUAGAUCGAACUUUCCCUGCUUCACGCAGCGAUCAAUGGCUUUCAGAACUACAAAAUCCUCCGGCCAAUGAAUUAACCAGGGUUUGCUGCUUCUAAUCGCGUAGACAGUUGGUGCAGAAAUCGCUAAAUUGAGCUGAACCUUAUGUUAUGUUGUAACAAAUUGUACUUCGUUUUUUUAAUAUUGUGUUUAACACAAUCAGUUGGUGCAGAAAUCGAAGUUUUUGUAUACUUUGAAACAAGGAGUUAAAUCAGAUCUGGGGAUGAACCAUUAUCUGCAACUUUAUAAAAAGAUUUUGAAUUGUUUCUGGGUCUAUCUGUAUCAGGAAGUAUAUAGAAUCCGAUGGAGUUGUUGAUUCUCUCACCAGAGGUAUAGUUUCUGUUUUUUUUUUAAUAUAGUCCACCCUUACCUAUUGCAGAUAGUUUUAUUUUUGCUAUCGAAUAGUAGUUAUGGUUUCUUUGAAUGGGACGAAUGCCUUCAUCUUCUUUAGAGUAAGUUACUGGACAUGUACUUGGUUUCUAACUUUUAUAUAUUAGUUUCUAAGAGCCUACCAUAAUCUUUAAUCCAGGUUUCCCCGUUUUUGUGAUCAAGGUGCCAAAAUUUAUGAACUAAAUAAAUCCUAAUAUAAAAUUAGGUUUAAGAGUAAAUCAUGUCCUCUACAAAAUUGAUGGAAAUUUGGGUUUAGAUUUUGAAUCAGCUUUCCUUCUUAAAAUUGGCUCUUAGUUUAUGUUUGUUUUUCAUGAUCACGAAUGCAGAUUUAAAAUGUUGCCUCUGUAAAAUUUUGGACUCAUACUCUAUGAUGCUUUGGUUUUUGCCAAUCCCAGCUCUUGAGUGGUUUUUCUAUGAUCCUUCUUUGGGUUUGCUUCAGACUAAUUCAGCAUAAGCUAGGAGGUGCUUCAGUCUCUGACUACGAGAAGCUUCAAGCUUAGACGUUUGAUCUUCAAAUAAAAUACAAUGAGCUUUUAGCUAAUCAUCAGGAAACCCUCAAAGAGUUUUUUCAUCAUCAAUCAGCAGAGGAUCGCUAGAGGCGAGGAGCUAAGUCCUCUCUCCCGAGUUUUUAUCGCCUUCCACCGCUUCUCCCCGCAUCAUAGACCAUUAUCGUCGGCCGUUCAAUGCCACGGCGGUGAAGAAGGUUAAUAGUUGGGAAGACGGAUAUGGAUGAGUUUGGUAUGGGAAGCCCAACUGAAGCUUUCGUCCUUUCAGGGACUUGACACGUGUAGCGGGAAGUUUCAUCAGGAGGAUCAGCAGCAGCUGUUGCAGAAAUAUAAUGUAUAGUGUCUCAUGGUAGUGAUACUGGUGGGAGUGUGAGACAGCUAGCUUCGCUUUGUGGUGUUGUGGUCUUAAGCCAACUUACGGUCGUGUCUCUAAGUUUGGACUAAUGGCCUAUGCAUCUUCAUUGGUUGCUUUGGCUCUACGUUUGCUGAUGUUGGGAUGCUUCUUCAUGCUCUCUCCGGGUAUGAGAGGUUUGAAUCCACGAGUAGCAAACAGUUUGAAGGGAGUGAAAGUUGGUCCAUCCGCGAGACGCUUGAAGAUGGUGUUAAUUUUGGAGUGAGAUUUGCCAACUUAGAAGCAUUGGGAUGUGUACUGACAGAGGUCUUCUUUCCGUCAUUCUCUUGUGGACUACCAGCCUAAUAUGUGGUGCAUGAUGAGUAUAUCAAUGUGGACACAGUUUUGGUGUAGAGGCAGAAGUGAGGAUGGUGCAGCUGAAAAGAGUUCUUAGUGAGCAUCUUCGCUAAAUAAUCUGAUGAUCUGAUCUCAUUUUGCUGGCUUUUGACUGAUGUCAUAAUUUUCCCGUUCUUUUCUUCUUCCAACACUCUUAUUAUUAUGCGAACGAUCCCAACCCAAGGAUGUUGCAGCCUCUAUGUCUUCCCUCGAGAACCUUAUUACGGUAAUCAUUACUUUAUGUUAGGAACAAAGUUUCUAAAGAACAUGAACACACGGUGAUUUGGUUACUGUUAUUAUCCAAGCGUAGCUUACUGAGAAUAACAAAUUUCAUGUAAGGCUCCAAAGUCAAAAUAGUCCAUGUCAUCUGAAACAAAAAGAAAGAUGGAAGAUGUUACUUCUAAUGCGUUAGUUCUUUUGUUUUCUAA